rnacentral:rRNA from 1 species
GACAGAGGGUGCAAGCGUUGUUCGGAAUUACUGGGCGUAAAGCGCAUGUAGGCGGCCAAGCAGGUCGGAUGUGAAAUCCCUCGGCUCAACCAAGGAAGUGCAUUCGAAACCGCAUGGCUCGAGUCCCGGAGAGGAAGGUGGAAUUCUCGGUGUAGAGGUGAAAUUCGUAGAUAUCGAGAGGAACACCGGUGGCGAAAGCGGCCUGCUGGACGAGGACUGACGCUGAGAUGCGAAAGCGUGGGGAGCAAACAGG